CCGGGGCUCAAAAUUGCUGGAGCCCCGAUCAGCGGGACGGUGCUUCGCGGUGCCGGAGACGACGACCACUUCCAGGUGGUCUUGGUAGGCACUGAUGGUGAGGAGGGACAAGUUACAGAAGCGAUUGCUUACGUUUACUCGUCGGAAACUGGUGCGUGGGGCGAUCCGAUCUCGACACCGCUUCCAUCCAAGCAUGCCGUGGUUUCUGUCAACAAGACUGCUGUGAUGGUUGGGGAUUUCAUUUACUGGUUGCUCAAUUCGGACGAGAUUCUUGAGUUUGAUCUUGAUAGGAAGAGGCUAUCCUUGAUACCUGUGCCUGCGGACUUGGAUUUAGGGAGCGGCAGUUUCUUCUUCUCAGUUAUAAGGGCAGAUGGCGGUGGGCUUGGUUUCAUCUUUUUGUCAGGCUUCAAUGCCCAAUUGUGGAAGAGGAAGACCGAUUCUGUUGGUGUUACUUCAUGGGUGCUGGAAAAAACUAUUGAAAUUGAUAGGUUACUUCCUCCGGAGGAUGUAGAGGCGAGACGGUCCCUAAUGAUACUAGCGUAUGCCGAAGACAAUGACACGGCUCUCAUGUGGACAGGUAUUGGUCUCCGUGGUCGUAUCUUCACGAUGCAGCUUAAGUCAUUGAAGUUUGAGGAACUCUUGCGAAACACCACCUUUGGUUACUUUCACUUAUUCGAAAGUGUUUAUGCUGCAGAAACAUGCAUUGGUGGUGGAGCUGGUCUUUUGCACAACACAUAAGAUGGUUGCCCUGUUAGAUAUGCCAUUGUGAUGUACUGGUUGAGCAGGUACCUAGAAUUACAUUCUGGUGGCUGAUCUGCCGAAGUGGAUUUGUUUUGCUCUAGGUCCUUCCAUUCUGCAUGCUGUGCAUGUGGGGUCUUGUGUGGACACUAGUCAACUGCUUGAAGACAUAUCUCGCAAAAAAAAACUGCUUGAAGACAUAGUAUUGGCGCUGUCAGUAAUCUCGUCGAUCAUUUUUUUACGCUUGCAGGAUGUUUUGUGGCAGGCAGUCAAAGUGUCGGUUGCGUCACUGUUUGCUUAUGUGCCCAUUGUGUCAUAUCGAGAUAUGAAAUUUAGAUCACUGCUUGUGUUUUGUUCCAUGACGCGUGUGUGUUACAUGCAUGUUGUUAUAUUCUUAUUAGAUGAAACUUUGUGUCGAAAAGGUACCAUUGCUGGAG